CCCCCUUUAUUUAAGGGCAGGGAGAGAGCUGCACGCGUCCCGGGCACGCACACUGUCGGGGUGCCGAGUGCUGACGCCCUGUGAAAUGAGAACGACAUGCAGAGGGCGCUGAGAGAGGGACUGACUGCCUGAGAGGGAGCUGAUGUCUUGAGCCCUAUUUAUUCUGCUUACAUGUUUUCAUCAUCCAGAAGAUAAACCUGGGCGUGUCUUUUCCAGGGCGUUGCAUGCCUAGCUCCUCCAUCAGGGGAAACCCAUGGGAUGGACACUCUCCUGUGCCCAGCGUCCCCUUUUACAAGGACUCCAGUUAUACUGCAUCAAGGCUCCAGCCUGGCCUGGUAUAGCCUCGUCUUAACUAACAACAUCUGAAGCAACCCUGCCUCCAACUAAGGUCACCUUCUGGCUUCCCUGGUGGCUCACAGUAAAGAAUCCACCUGCAACGCAGGAGACCUGGGUUUGAUCCCUGGGUUGGGAAGAUCCCUUGGAGAGGGGAAUGGCUACCCACUCCAGUGUUCUUGCCUGGAGAAUCCCAUGGACACAGGAGCCUGGCGGACUACAGUCCACGGGGUCACACAGGCUCGGACACGGCUGAGCGCCUUUCACUUUUCUGGUGGGCUGAGGGCUCAGGACUCAACAUAGGGUGCCGGGAGCAGGAGCUCUGCCCCUGGCAAAGGUCAUGAGGAAGGAGGCUGGGCAUAUGCAAAGGCGGGAUUGAGCCUCAGGAGUCCCC